rnacentral:rRNA from 1 species
AUUGAACGCUGGCGGCAGGCCUAACACAUGCAAGUCGAACGAGUGGCGGACGGGUGAGUAAUGUCUGGGAACCUGCCUGGUGGAGGGGGAUAACUACUGGAAACGGUAGCUAAUACCGCAUACCAUCGGAUCUGCCCAGAUGGGAUUAGCUAGUAGGUGGGGUAAAGGCUCACCUAGGCGACGAUCCCUAGCUGGUCUGAGAGGAUGACCAGCCACACUGGAACUGAGACACGGCCCAGACUCCUACGGGAGGCAGCAGUGGGGAAUAUUGCACAAUGGGCGAAAGCCUGAUGCAGCCAUGCCGCGUGUAUGAAGAAGGCCUUCGGGUUGUAAAGUACUUUCAGCGGGGAGGCGUUACCCGCAGAAGAAGCACCGGCUAACUCCGUGCCAGCAGCCGCGGUAAUAC